rnacentral:tRNA from 1 species
GCAGUCGUGGCCGAGUGGUUAAGGCGAUGGGCUGGAUUCACUAGAAAUCCAUUGGGGUCUCCCCGCACAGGUUCGAAUCCUGUCGACUGCG